AACCCUCUUCCUUUGUCUUGCCAGAUCUCUAAAACUUCUCUGUUCUUUGUUGAAGAUGCCAUGUAGGCUGGACUCAAAGCCGCCUCUGCGAGAACGACUCAUUCCCUGGGCAUCUCGCAUGCAUAACACGCAGAAGCAUCUUUGCCAUGGACCAGUGGCCCUGGGUGACCUCUUAAACAACUCCAAGACCCACCGCGAGAUGCCAGGCGCCUCAGGCCCUGCUGCUCGCUUGACCCCCUCCCAUCGGAGCAGCUCUGGUCCAGUUCCACCAAGAACCCGCGGGAUCCACACAGACACUGAAGUCCGCCUUCCUUCCCAGUUCCCUCCUCCCCUGUCCCAUCGGCAACAUCAGCCACAGCCCUGCCCUUCCUCUCUUUACCACUGCCUCAGGUUCAGUGGCUUUUCUCAAAGGCAAGAAAUUGGACUUAGAUUUAUAAACACAUCCUUGACUUCAGAACCUAAUGGAACUUGUUCCUGGGAAAUGUGAAAAGAGAGAGAAGUUCACCAGGUGCCUUGCUAGCUGCUCUGAGCGGGGCUGGGAGCAGACACAGACACUGAACAAUGUGAGCUUUCAGUGGCAAAUCACCCCGGAGCCCUACGGUUCUCAAUCUGACAGCCGCUGACUUGCUGCUGUUGGGGAACCAAUCUGGAGUGAGAAUUGGGGUGCAGAGGAAAUCCGUAAACUUAGUUGCUCCCUGCACUGUGACGGAUCCAUUUCCCAUCCCAGGUGUGCCGCAGCUCUGCGUCCUGGUUGUGUAAGGAGACUACUGCAUCAUCUCUCUAACUUGGAAUAAAUACGCAGAUUUCAUCCAAA